rnacentral:rRNA from 1 species
AUUGAUUUUAUGCUUGCAUAAAUGAUUUUUGGAUUCGGAGCGAGUGGCGAACUGGUGAGUAACACGUGGGUAACCUGCCCCGAAGCGGGGGAUAACAUUUGGAAACAAGUGCUAAUACCGCAUAAUUAGUUGGAACCGCAUGGUUCCAACUUGAAAGAUGGCUCUGCUAUCACUUUGGGAUGGACCCGCGCCGUAUUAGUUAGUUGGUGAGAUAAAAGCCCACCAAGACGAUGAUACGUAGCCGACCCGAGAGGGUAAUCGGCCACAUUGGGACUGAGACACGGCCCAGACUCCUACGGGAGGCAGCAGUAGGGAAUCUUCCACAAUGGACGAAAGUCUGAUGGAGCAACGCCGCGUGAGUGAUGAAGGUUUUCGGAUCGUAAAACUCUGUUGUUAAAGAAGAACAAGUGUUAGAGUAACUGUUAACACUUUGACGGUAUUUAACCAGAAAGCCACGGCUAACUACGUGCCAGCAGCCGCGGUAAUACGUAGGUGGCAAGCGUUGUCCGGAUUUAUUGGGCGUAAAGCGAGCGCAGGCGGUUUUGUAAGUCUGCUGUGAAAGCCCUCAGCUCAACUGAGGAAGUGCAGUGGAAACUACAAAACUUGAGUACAGAAGAGGAAAGUGGAACUCCAUGUGUAGCGGUGAAAUGCGUAGAUAUAUGGAAGAACACCAGUGGCGAAGGCGGCUUUCUGGUCUGUUACUGACGCUGAGGCUCGAAAGCAUGGGUAGCGAACAGGAUUAGAUACCCUGGUAGUCCAUGCCGUAAACGAUGAAUACUAGGUGUUGGAGGGUUUCCGCCCUUCAGUGCCGCAGCUAACGCAUUAAGUAUUCCGCCUGGGGAGUACGACCGCAAGGUUGAAACUCAAAGGAAUUGACGGGGGCCCGCACAAGUGGUGGAGCAUGUGGUUUAAUUCGAUGCUACGCGAAGAACCUUACCAGCUCUUGACAUCUUCUGCCAACCCAAGAGAUUGGGCGUUCCCUUCGGGGACAGAAUGACAGGUGGUGCAUGGUUGUCGUCAGCUCGUGUCGUGAGAUGUUGGGUUAAGCCCCGCAACGAGCGCAACCCUUAUUAUUAGUUGCCAGCAUUUAGUUGGGCACUCUAGUGAGACUGCCGGUGAUAAA